UACGAAGGGGGCUAGCGUUGCUCGGAAUCACUGGGCGUAAAGGGCGCGUAGGCGGCUUGAUAAGCGUGCGGUGAAAGCCCGGGGCUCAACCCCGGGUCGGCCGUGCGAACUGUCGAGCUGGAGCACUGUAGAGGCAGGUGGAAUUCCGGGUGUAGCGGUGGAAUGCGUAGAGAUCCGGAAGAACACCGGUGGCGAAGGCGGUCAACUGGCCCUCAACUGACGCUGAGGCACGAAAGCGUGGGGAUCAAACAGG
rnacentral:rRNA from 1 species